rnacentral:tRNA from 2 species
GGAGGAGUAGCUCAGUUUGGGCAGAGCGCUUCACUGAAGAUGAAGACGUCCCCGGUUCAAAUCCGGGUUCCUCCA